UACGAGGGGUGCAAGCGUUGCUCGGAAUUAUUGGGCGUAAAGGGUAGGUAGGUGGUCUCAUUUGUCAGGGGUGAAAGCCUUGGGCUUAACCCAAGAAGUGCCCUUGAAACGGUGAGACUGGAGUCUUGGAGAGGGUCGUGGAAUUCCCGGUGUAGCGGUGAAAUGCGUAGAGAUCGGGAGGAAGGCCGGUGGCGAAGGCGGCGCUCUGGAACGUUUCUGACACUGAGGCUCGAAAGCGUGGGGAGCAAACAGG
rnacentral:rRNA from 1 species